CAUAAGUGGGACAUUGUAAUGAGAGGCAUGGAGCUAUCUGGUUGGACAUAGAGCAAAGUGGGAUGCUGGUCACUGCAUCAGACUGAGCUGGAAAAAAAGGAUGAAUGUCAAGUAACAUUGUGUAUGCCACUAAGAGAAAAUACUGUCAAGUCUCUACGCAAUAAAGAUCAAAGUCUUCACUUUCUGCAGUACAAGAUUAUGAUCAGAGCAAGAGAUCUUUCUGGAACAUGAGUCACACUGAGCGUAACUCUAUGACCAGUGAGGAUGUGUCCAUGCCCAGCGAGGAGGUCUUCGAGACAACACCGGUCUGCGGAGAUGUACUCACCUGCACAGCAAAGCAGCAAUUAUUUACUGCACCCUUUCCGCCUUACUCUUCAGUGACUUUCCUCCCCCACUGGACGCCCCAAACUCCUUCUCUUUUCUUUAGCUCAUAAUAACAGCUAGAAGAGGCUCAACCAAUCUCCAGCAGCCAUGUUUCCACCAUCGGCAGACAGCUGAUCCCAUCAGGUCAAAAUAAGGCCCGUGCCUGUCUUGAUCCAGUUUCAGCACUUGCUGUGUUCAGACUAUGGAAGCUCACUUUUCACAUUGCUGAGCAAAGCCUGCUGCCCCAUGACAAAUCCUUAAAUGUUUAAUUAAUUUUAUCUUACUUUCCCAUAAGUAAACAGUGCCAUAUCCAUUGCUUUAAUGGAUUAUUUUUCAUACUUAAAGUUUCCAUUUUAAUAC